UAUUAGACCGCGUGAGUGAUGGCAGUGGAGCUCUUUUUUUAAUCCCGUUUUUUUUUGCGGGAUUAAAAAAAAGCGGGAACGUACAGCACGACCCGAA
rnacentral:sRNA from 1 species